CCUACGGGCGGCUGCAGUGGGGAAUAUUGGACAAUGGGGGCAACCCUGAUCCAGCCAUGCCGCGUGUGUGAAGAAGGCCCUCGGGUUGUAAAGCACUUUCAGUGAGGAAGAACGCCUGGUGGUUAAUACCCAUCAGGAAAGACAUCACUCACAGAAGAAGCACCGGCUAACUCCGUGCCAGCAGCCGCGGUAAUACGGAGGGUGCGAGCGUUAAUCGGAAUUACUGGGCGUAAAGCGCGCGUAGGUGGCUUGAUAAGCCGGUUGUGAAAGCCCCGGGCUCAACCUGGGAACAGCAUCCGGAACUGUCAAGCUAGAGUGCAGGAGAGGAAGGUAGAAUUCCCGGUGUAGCGGUGAAAUGCGUAGAGAUCGGGAGGAAUACCAGUGGCGAAGGCGGCCUUCUGGACUGACACUGACACUGAGGUGCGAAAGCGUGGGUAGCAAACAGGAUUAGAUACCCUUGUAGUC
rnacentral:rRNA from 1 species